ensembl:lncRNA
CUCGCUCGGCCGCGUCAGGAUCCGACGGGGGCGUCUGUAGCCAGGGAAACAAAUAUUCAAUGGCGAUUAAAGAGGCAUAUAUGGAGAUGAUGCCUUAAAAGAAAACUUCGUUAUUAAUAAUACUGAUCACAGAAGCUACCACACACUGAGAUGUUCUCAGGACUUUGGAGUUAUUACUACAUCUAAUCCUCACUCCAGCCAGAGGGAGAAACAAUCUCCACAGAGGGCUCAGCACCCACCUUCUCUUGCAAAUUCCCAGUCCCAGCAUCGGCACUGAGUCUCAGCUUUCAUGAGAAGCAGCUUUUGGUGUUUCAGCAAUAGUUCUGGGGCCUUCUCUGACCGCUGUCAGGGACACAAGCGGCUGCAGCCAGCAGCUGACACAUAAAGCACAUUUACUACACCUACAGCGCACAGCUUGUCGUUUGCUUGGGAGACCCGGAACAGGAGCGGGUUUGAGCUGAGUCUGAGGACCGCAGUCGGGGCCCAAAGGGCUAAAGGCGUCUCGCUUCCUCCAAACACUACUUGGAGCUCUUCCUCCUC